rnacentral:rRNA from 1 species
GAUGAACGCUGGCGGCGUGCCUAAUACAUGCAAGUCGAGCGAACGGACGAGAAGCUUGCUUCUCUGAUGUUAGCGGCGGACGGGUGAGUAACACGUGGAUAACCUACCUAUAAGACUGGGAUAACUUCGGGAAACCGUAGCUAAUACCGGAUAAUAUUUUGAACCGCAUGGUUCAAAAGUGAAAGACGGUCUUGCUGUCACUUAUAGAUGGAUCCGCGCUGCAUUAGCUAGUUGGUAAGGUAACGGCUUACCAAGGCAACGAUGCAUAGCCGACCUGAGAGGGUGAUCGGCCACACUGGAACUGAGACACGGUCCAGACUCCUACGGGAGGCAGCAGUAGGGAAUCUUCCGCAAUGGGCGAAAGCCUGACGGAGCUACGCCGCGUGAGUGAUGAAGGUCUUCGGAUCGUAAAACUCUGUUAUUAGGGAAGAACAUAUGUGUAAGUAACUGUGCACAUCUUGACGGUACCUAAUCAGAAAGCCACGGCUAACUACGUG